UACAGAGGUCUCAAGCGUUGUUCGGAUUCAUUGGGCGUAAAGGGUGCGUAGGCGGCGCGGUAAGUCGGGUGUGAAAACCUGGGGCUCAACCCCGGGCCUGCAGCCGAUACGGGCAAGCUAGAAUUCGGUAGGGGAGACUGGAAUUCCUGGUGUAGCGGUGAAAUGCGCAGAUAUCAGGAGGAACACCGGUGGCGAAGGCGGGUCUCUGGGCCGAAAUUGACGCUGAGGAGCGAAAGCGUGGGGAGCAAACAGG
rnacentral:rRNA from 1 species